ensembl:lncRNA
AAGGUGACGAUCCCCGAAGGGGUCUCCCCCUUCUCUGGAGAACAGAGCUGACCUAGACUCAACCAACCAGCCACGGAGGCACAUCACUCGCCGUGGAAGUCGAAGAAGGCGUCCUCUGACAAAGGGAAUCUCCAUAAAGAUGUUGAGCCCAGGAACUGACAGACCAGAAACAGCUUUUGGAUCCGGAGGUACCUGCGUCUUCGUCCUCAGCUCAGUCUCCCUUUCCGGUGGAUCUACAUCGGUUCAGAUCCUCAGAGCUCCCAGCCUCACCAGACCAUGAGGCUGCCUGAGAGACCGGCCCAUUCAACAUCAGCAGUUGUCAUUGUAGGCAGCUUUAUGAUGCCGGGAGCUGACACUGUCGUAGUCCAAGUGUGGUCAAACGACAUCAGGAGGGCUAGCUCGGAACAUUUGAAAAUAGGUUUUAAAAAGAACUGAUUUUAGCAUUAAGACAAAAAAAAACAGCCAAUAAUUUCAGGUCCAAUAGCAUCGUUGGUGUGUGAAAGAUUCAGCAGACUGCUGGCUUUACACAUCUGGCUAAAAGAGUACUGUAGCUCUGCUGGAGUCAAUUUUAUUGAUAACUUUGACACCUUCUGGAAACAGAAGAUACACCACAGGAAUGAUGGACUCCAUCCAAAUCAUCUUGGCUCCUGUCCACGCAUUUCAAGGCUGUGUUGAAACAAUGACUAGUAAAUGAUCCAAGACCAGCUCAGUUAAUCCUUACCAUUGUGACAAUGAGUCGUCAUAAUGCUGCACCAAAUGUACAUGAUCUUAGGGGCAUUGACAAACAAUGUUACAAGAAUCUACAGUCUGAAGCAAUAUUCCUUGACCCAAGGACUGUACCUGAAAUUAUUUUUUUUUUUAAAUCACCGGUGAAGUGUUCAUUAGAGAAGUCCUUAUCAACCAGUGAAACAGAAGAAUUCCUCACUACGGCAGAAAAUCAUUUCUUAGUCAUCUACGUGGGACUGAUACCAGUGUGGAAGAGCUGGUCACUUUUAAAGGACUUGUGUGAGUUUCCUCCUAAUACAGGAUGUGGUAGGAAUCGCAAGGGAUAACAUUACACCUGUUGGAAAAUAAGUAUUAACACGUUGUUUUAAACCUAUUUGUUAUUGUAACAGCAAGUAAAAUAUGCCCUUUGUGUUUUAUAGAAAUGCAAGGUGUUUAAUGUAAAUUAGUUUAUGCUUACUAAUUUGUUUGAAUACAAUUUUUUCAUGUUCUCAAAAUCCAUUUUAAAGUAUAUAUUUUAAAUUAAAUAGUCUAGGGGGGAGUGUAAGAAUAUGUCGAAGAUAAAUACAAAACGCAGAGGACUAGAAUUACAAUCAAUAGAAAGUUGUUUCAGUUCAACAUCUGUUUAGAAUGUUAGGAAUAUCAGUCCUGAACUCAUAGCUAUGUGUGCAGUUUUCAUUGGUCUGAAUCAUCUGUACAUCGAGUCUGGAGCAGGAUACUUGUAAUUUGGCCCAGUUGUUCUGCAAGGACUUCUAAUUGGGUUAUAAAUUACAUCCUGUUGCUUUGUUCCAUGGCGAGAAUCACAAAGGACAGGGGAGCAUGAAUAUCUACCUCCCCGCAUGAUUUGUUCUUUGAAUAAACCUAUUAACGUCCCCCAGAUUUGCUUUGGGGUCAGUGUUAUUGAACAAUAACAGCAACUGCUUACAGUAGUGUUAAUUCAGUGUACUUUAUCACCCAUUUCACGAAAGACUCUUCCCACACCGCUUCAGAAGCAUCUGCGUUCAAAUGUGUGGUUAUGCUAAGAUAUUCUCAAGAGGGAAUUGUUGAUAUGCUGUAAUGGAGUACUGACCUAUAUUGGAAUUGUUAAGGUCAUACCAUCAUUUUGCUAUUUGAUUUAGCAUUAAGACCCUUUAACGUAAAA